UAAGGAAUAUUGGUCAAUGGACGCAAGUCUGAACCAGCCAUGCCGCGUGAAGGGUUAAGGCCCUCUGGGUUGUAAACUUCUUUUAUAGGGGAAGAAAUGUGACGGUUCUCCGUCACUUGACGGUACCCUGGGAAUAAGCACCGGCUAACUCCGUGCCAGCAGCCGCGGUAAUACGGAGGGUGCAAGCGUUAUCCGGAUUCACUGGGCUUAAAGGGUGCGUAGGUGGGCAGAUAAGUCAGUGGUGAAAUCUUCCGGCUUAACCGGGAAACUGCCGUUGAUACUAUGUGUCUUGAAUAUUGCUGAGGUAAGCGGAAUAUGUCAUGUAGCGGUGAAAUGCUUAGAUAUGACAUAGAACACCAAUUGCGAAGGCAGCUUACUACACAAUCAUUGACACUGAGGCACGAAAGCGUGGGUAGCGAACA
rnacentral:rRNA from 1 species